rnacentral:rRNA from 1 species
AAUGAACGCUGGCGGCAGGCCUAACACAUGCAAGUCGAACGGAUCCCUCGGGAUUAGUGGCGGACGGGUGAGUAACGCGUGGGAACAUACCCUUUGGUACGGAAUAGCCUCGGGAAACUGGGAGUAAUACCGUAUGUGGUCGAGAGACGAAAGAUUUAUCGCCAAAGGAUUGGCCCGCGUUGGAUUAGGUAGUUGGUGGGGUAAUGGCCUACCAAGCCGACGAUCUAUAGCUGGUUUGAGGGGAUGAUCAGCCACACUGGGACUGAGACACGGCCCAGACUCCUACGGGAGGCAGCAGUGGGGAAUCUUAGACAAUGGGGGAAACCCUGAUCUAGCCAUGCCGCGUGAUCGAUGAAGGCCCUAGGGUUGUAAAGAUCUUUCAGGUGGGAAGAUAAUGACUGUACCACCAGAAGAAGCCCCGGCUAACUCCGUGCCAGCCGCCGCAGUAACAC